rnacentral:misc_RNA from 1 species
GAUGAAGAACGUAGCGAAAUGCGAUAAGUAAUGUGAAUUGCAGAUUUCAGUGAAUCAUCGAAUCUUUGAACGCACCUUGCGCCUUGUGGUAUUCCACAAGGCAUGCCCGUUUGAGUAUCAUUAAAUCAUCAACUCUAAAACCUUUGUGGUUUUUUUAGAGCUUGGUCUUGAGGGUUUUGCAGGCUUUUUUUUUCGAGUCUGCUCCCUUUAAAUGCAUUAGCGAGACUUCCCUAUGCUGAACCGUCUCUUUGACGUGAUAAUUAUCUGCGUCGAAUUUUGGUUCUCGUUGGGCUUGCUUCUAAUCGUCUGUUAAAGACAAAACGGAUUUGGGUGCAUAUAUGCGCCUUUUUCCAAAACCUUUUUUGAUCUCAAAUCGGGUAGGACUACCCGCUGAACUUAAGCAUAUUAAUAAGCGGAGGA